rnacentral:rRNA from 1 species
ACGACUGCUAAGACUGGAUAGGAGACAAGAAGGCAUCUUCUUGUUUUUAAAAGACCUAGCAAUAGGUAUGCUUAGGUAGGAGCUUGCGUCACAUUAGUUAGUUGGUGGGGUAAAGGCCUACCAAGACUAUGAUGUGUAGCCGGGCUGAGAGGUUGAACGGCCACAUUGGGACUGAGACACGGCCCAAACUCCUACGGGAGGCAGCAGUAGGGAAUUUUCGGCAAUGGAGGAAACUCUGACCGAGCAACGCCGCGUGAACGAUGAAGUAUUUCGGUACGUAAAGUUCUUUUAUUAGGGAAGAAUAAAUGAUGGAAAAAUCAUUCUGACGGUACCUAAUGAAUAAGCCCCGGCUAACUAUGUGCCAGCAGCCGCGGUAAUACAUAGGGGGCAAGCGUUAUCCGGAAUUAUUGGGCGUAAAGGGUGCGUAGGCGGUUAAAUAAGUUUGUGGUCUAAGUGCAAUGCUCAACAUUGUGAUGCUAUAAAAACUGUUUAGCUAGAGUAAGAUAGAGGCAAGUGGAAUUCCAUGUGUAGUGGUAAAAUGCGUAAAUAUAUGGAGGAACACCAGUAGCGAAGGCGGCUUGCUGGGUCUUUACUGACGCUGAGGCACGAAAGCGUGGGGAGCAAACAGGAUUAGAUACCCUGGUAGUCCACGCCGUAAACGAUGAGUACUAAACGUUGGGUAAAACCAGUGUUGAAGUUAACACAUUAAGUACUCCGCCUGAGUAGUACGUACGCAAGUAUGAAACUUAAAGGAAUUGACGGGACUCCGCACAAGCGGUGGAUCAUGUUGUUUAAUUCGAAGGUACCCGAAAAACCUCACCAGGUCUUGACAUGCUUCUGCAAAGCUGUAGAAACACAGUGGAGGUUAUCAGUUGCACAGGUGGUGCAUGGUUGUCGUCAGCUCGUGUCGUGAGAUGUUGGGUUAAGUCCCGCAACGAGCGCAACCCUUAUUGUUAGUUACCAGCACGUAAUGGUGGGGACUUUAGCAAGACUGCCAGUGAUAAAUUGGAGGAAGGUGGGGACGACGUCAAAUCAUCAUGCCCCUUAUGACCUGGGCUACAAACGUGAUACAAUGGCUGUUACAAAGGGUAGCUGAAGCGCAAGUUUUUGGCGAAUCUCAAAAAAACAGUCUCAGUUCGGAUUGAAGUCUGCAACUCGACUUCAUGAAGUUGGAAUCGCUAGUAAUCGCGAAUCAGCAUGUCGCGGUGAAUACGUUCUCGGGGUUUGUACACACCGCCCGUCAAAUCAC